AGUCACAAAAAUAGCAUUUAAUGUUUUAUCAAAAGUCACAGACUUAGGGUUUAGAGUUAAAGGGUGGAGUUUAGGAUUUAGGGUUUAGGGUUUAGGGUUUAGAGUUUAGGGUUUAGGAUUUAGAUUUUAGGGUUUAGGGUUUAGGGUUUAGGGUUUAGAGUUUAGGGUUUAGGGUUUAGAGUUUAGGGUUUAGGGUUUAUGGUUUAGGGUUUAAGGUUUAGAGUUUAAGGUUUAGGGUUUAGAGUUUAGGGUUUAGGAUUUAGAGUUGAGAAAUAAGGUUUUGGGGAUAAGAUUUCAAAUUUUAAAAAAUAAAAAAAUUAAAAUUUUCAAAGGAUAAACUUUGAAAGGUGCUAUUUUGAUCAUUUUAGUUUUUGAGUGCUAUUUUUGUGAUA
rnacentral:lncRNA from 1 species